rnacentral:rRNA from 1 species
AUUGAACGCUAGCGGGAUGCCUUACACAUGCAAGUCGAACGGAGUGGCGAACGGGUGAGUAAUGUAUCGGAACGUGCCUAGUAGCGGGGGAUAACUACGCGAAAGCGUAGCUAAUACCGCAUACUCUUGGAGCGGCCGAUAUCGGAUUAGCUAGUUGGUGGGGUAACGGCUCACCAAGGCGACGAUCCGUAACUGGUUUGAGAGGAUGACCAGCCCCACUGGGACUGAGACACGGCCCAUACGCCUACGGGAGGCAGGAGUGGGGAAUGUUGGACAAUGGGGGAAACCGUGAGCCAGCCAUGCAGCGUGUGCGAAGAAGGCCUUCGGGUUGUAAAGCACUUUUGUCAGGAAAGCGGUACCAACAGAAUAAGCACCGGCUAACUACGUGCCAGCAGCCGCGGGAAUAC